rnacentral:rRNA from 1 species
GACGAACGCUGGCGGCGUGCUUAACACAUGCAAGUCGAGCGGUAAGGCCUCUUCGGGGGUACACGAGCGGCGUACGGGUGAGUAACACGUGGGUGACCUGCCCUCAGCUCUGGGAUAAGCCUGGGAAACUGGGUCUAAUACCGGAUAUGACCUUUCCUCGCAUGGGGUUUGGUGGCAAGUUUUUUCGGCUGGGGAUGGGCCCGCGGCCCAUCCGCUUGUUGGUGGGGUGAUGGCCUACCAAGGCGACGACGGGUAGCCGGCCUGGGGAGGCGACCGGCCAAACUGGGACCGAGGCACGGCCCAGACUCCUACGGGAGGGAGCAGUGGGGGAUAUUGCGCAAUGGGCGGAAGGCUGACGCAGCGACGGCGCGUGGGGGAAGGCAGCCUUCGGGUUGUAAACCUCUUUCGACCCGGGCGAAUUUUGACGGUAGGGGUAGAAGAAGCACCGGCCAACUACGUG